rnacentral:rRNA from 1 species
UACGAAGGGUGCAAGCGUUACUCGGAAUUACUGGGCGUAAAGGGUGCGUAGGUGGUCGUUUAAGUCCGUUGUGAAAUCCCCGGGCUCAACCUGGGAAUGGCAUUCGGGACUGCAAGGCUGGAGUGCGGCAGAGGAGACUGGAAUUCCUGGUGCAGCAGUGAAAUGCGUAGAUAUCAGGAGGAAUACCGAUGGCGAAGGCAGGUCUCUGGGCUGACACUGACGCUCAUGCACGAAAGCGUGGGGAGCAAACAGG